rnacentral:rRNA from 1 species
GCUUGCUUGUUGGGGUUGUAGGACACUCUAUACGGAGUUACAAAGGACGACAUUAGACGAAUCAUCUGGAAAGAUGAAUCAAAGAAGGUAAUAAUCCUGUAGUCGAAAAUGUUGUCUCUCUUGAGUGGAUCCUGAGUACGACGGAGCACGUGAAAUUCCGUCGGAAUCUGGGAGGACCAUCUCCUAAGGCUAAAUACUCUCUAGUGACCGAUAGUGAACCAGUACCGUGAGGGAAAGGUGAAAAGCACCCCGGAAGGGGAGUGAAAUAGAACCUGAAACCGUGUGCUUACAAGUAGUCAGAGCCCGUUAAUGGGUGAUGGCGUGCCUUUUGUAGAAUGAACCGGCGAGUUACGAUUUGAUGCAAGGUUAAGCAGUAAAUGUGGAGCCGUAGCGAAAGCGAGUCUGAAUAGGGCGUUUAGUAUUUGGUCGUAGACCCGAAACCAGGUGAUCUACCCUUGGUCAGGUUGAAGUUCAGGUAACACUGAAUGGAGGACCGAACCGACUUACGUUGAAAAGUGAGCGGAUGA